CAUAGUCUAUAUAAGACUAUGAGUUCAGACGGUAUGGGACACUAGAAUAAAUAGUAGCGAUCAUAUUUUUCAAAUCUCUCUCUCUUACUUUCUCUCUUUGGUAUCUAAAUACUCUUCCACUUCUGUUUAUUUUGCUGAGUUUUGAAAGAUUUGUCAACCCUCUCCAUGAUCGUGCUCCAAGAGAGGGUAUCUCGAUCGUAUCUUUGGAUAGAAUUUCUGAUAAAUAUUGGCACG
rnacentral:lncRNA from 1 species